UACAGAGGGUGCAAGCGUUGUUCGGAUUCAUUGGGCGUAAAGGGUGCGUAGGCGGCGCGGUAAGUCGGGUGUGAAAUUUCGGAGCUUAACUCCGAAACUGCAUUCGAUACUGCCGUGCUUGAGGACUGGAGAGGAGACUGGAAUUUACGGUGUAGCAGUGAAAUGCGUAGAGAUCGUAAGGAAGACCAGUGGCGAAGGCGGGUCUCUGGACAGUUCCUGACACUGAGGCACGAAGGCCAGGGGAGCAAACGGG
rnacentral:rRNA from 1 species